rnacentral:rRNA from 1 species
GACAGAGGGUGCAAACGUUGCUCGGAAUCAUUGGGCGUAAAGCGCGCGUAGGCGGCCCGGUAAGUCCGCUCUGAAAGUCCAGGCUCAACCCUGGAAAGCGGGUGGAUACUGCCGGGCUAGAAUCCGGAAGAGGCGAGUGGAAUUCCUGGUGUAGCGGUGGAAUGCGCAGAUAUCAGGAGGAACACCAAUAGCGAAGGCAGCUCGCUGGGACGGUAUUGACGCUGAGGCGCGAAAGCGUGGGGAGCAAACAGG